CGUGACACAGGUGCUGCUGGCUGUCGUCACCUCGUGUCGUGAGAUGUUGGGUUAAGUCCCGCAACGAGCGCAACCCUUGUCCUUAGUUGCCACCACUUAAUGGUGGGAACUCUAAAGAGACCGCCGGAGACAACCCGGAAGAAGGGGGGGAUGACCUCAAGUCCUCAUGGCCUUUACGGCCAGGGCUACACACGUACUACAAUGGUGGGCACAGAGGGUUGCAAUCCCGCGGGGGGGACCCAAUCCCAAAAACCCCAUCCCAUUCCAGAUUGGACUCUGCAACUCCACUCCGUAAACUCAAAAUCUCUUAAAAUCGCAAAUCAACAUUGCUGCGG
rnacentral:rRNA from 1 species